ensembl:lncRNA
CUCUUUGAGAACUAUCAAUGUUAUGUCAUUAUUUUCUUUUUAUUAUUAUUAUUAUUUUUACUUUUCCUAUACAAGUUUCUUAUACAACCUUCUGAAAUGAAGCUAAUAGAAAUGGAUUUUUCGAUUGUAACUUACUCUUUGUUUUGCUGGGAGCAAAGCAAAGCAAAACAAACAGCCUUCAUAUCUUUUGUUCCAUUCAGCAAGAAGAUGACUAGGAAGAAAAAGUGUAAGAAGUACCUGUCUGGAAGAGAAGAACAACUACGGUCCCCACGAGCCUUUUCAAGUACUGUUAUCAUUCCUGCUCAAGGGAACAGAUAUAAGGGUGCAGGUCAUCUGACUCAUCCCUCUUCUUGUCUCACCGUGUUCCCUGUCGGAUCGGCUCGCUACUGCUGCUCCCGACUGCACGCAAGGCUUCAGUAUUAGUGUAAGGCCUUUGGCUCUCGGACAACCUUUCUCUCAAUUACUGUUGAUUUAUAUUGUAUUAUAGUG